rnacentral:lncRNA from 1 species
CCACAGUUAUGGUUUCCCUGUGGGACAGCCGGUUCUCUGGCCAGACCUUGAUGCUCCAGGUCAGCCUCUUCCUGGCUAUUCCCUCAACAAGCGUCCAGUCUGUGGACAACCUCAGCACCUCCUGCACCCUGGAAAGGAUCGUGGGGGCGUCUGUCCAGCUGCAGCUGACCUCCUCCUUGUACCCGAACAUCCGAGAGAUAGAGUGGAGUUGGCAUUCUGAGCCUGAAAAAGAAGAGAUCCUGGUGUCCUGGAAACCCAAUGCCACUGGUCCUGACUGGUAUGAGCUGGAGGAAAAAUUCAGGAGCAGCCUCUCCCUGACAGAGAUGGCAGUUUUGAGCAUCAGGAAUCUCACUAUGGAAAUGAGUGGAUGGUAUACAGCAAAGGUCAAAUUCCGCACAGGAAAAUCCCAGAAGGAAGUCUUCAGACUCUGUGUGUAUGUAAAGCUGUCCAUCCCGCCCUGGAUGACACUGCUGACACAGGGGAUCGUGUAACUCUGUGGGUUCUCCUGGGGAUUAGAGAAGGUGAUGGAAAGCCCGUGCAGCUGUGCCUGGGAGUCCGCACCUGCUCCGUAAAUGGGAACGACUUCUUCUUCCCUCUGCUGCUGGAGUAAAUUCCACUAAUGAAUUUCCUGGUUACACGGUCCUUGUAUUCCUACAAUAAAUGCAACGUGAUCAUGAGGUAUCA